UGACUCCUCCAAGUCUUGGAGUAGGUCGUUCGGUGGAUCCUCUGUUUUCACACAUGGACCACUGGAUGACUUCUCCAUGUCUUGGAG
rfam:Mesocricetus auratus contig038454, whole genome shotgun sequence.